AGACUGUGUCCAGUGUCUUCAGAUAACACUGUUUCGGCGACUCACGUUGACACGUUGACAACCACCAGUGCAGCUGAGGCAGCAACUUUACCUUUGUAUGACGAUAGGUACUUGAUGCCAGAGGGGGUGGUCAUCACUGUGGGAGUGGUCAUUAUUCUGGUAUCCAUGGUGGCCUUGGUCAUCAUACUGUACAGUGGAAGAAUGGAAACAAAUCUGAGCAAACGACGAGGGCGGAAUGAGGAAGCUGAAACUACGAUUACUCUGAGUGGCAUCAAUGUAGACGUGGAAUAUAUGCAGUUUGUGCAUAAGAAAUCUCGUGUCUGUUGUUGGUCAGCAUGUCGUCAGCUGUUUCUUGAUAAAGAUAGUUGUAGAGGAACUAAUAUGCCAGUGCUUGGUGUUUCUUGAAUGUUAUCAUGUCGGUUGUGUAUGUAAUAAGUAUUGUUUUAUAUAUUCUGAGAUUUCAAGUGAUCAAGUCUAAUGGUAUAUCAAUGUAUAUACCUGAAUGGUAAUGUAAAACAAAUCGAAUGAGUGUAGUUAACAAAUCGGUUCUGAAAGAAAUGUUUUGUGAUGUUUUGUUGAUUAUAUAAUGUUUUACUGAGUCUCCAAUAAAAGUGUUGUAACUAUGAUGUAUUUUGUCUUAAUAUGCUAUACAUCAGAGAGAGAGAGAGAGAGAGAGAGAGAGAGAGAGAGAGAGAGAGAGAGAGAGAGAGAGAGAGAGAGAGAGAGAGAGAGAGAGAGAGAGAGAGAGAGAGAGAUUUGACAAGUGUUGUUAAUUGAGACGCGGAUUAUAUUACCAACAUUUCUAACAUCAUUGGGGACUUCAGGCUUCACGUAAACAAAUAUUUUCUGAGAUAGGUGUAGGUUAUUAUGUAACGAUUUCAACCGUUGUAUAAUGAAUCACCAUAUUAAUACAUCAAUCAUUCAUUUUGAUUAUAUACAUUCUUGAUAGUCAAUAUCCCAUAUGAGCAAUGGCGCAAUCGGAGGGGUGAUAUUUGAGAAUGGGGUUACUUUGGAUAGAAUAGUUUAAGUAUAUUCUUUAGUUUGAGAUUGCAGUGGUAUGUCAGAGUUAGAUCUCCAACCCUGUUCAGAAUGUCAGUGUGUGCCCUAUUAAUCGAACAUCUCAUUUAUUUAUCGUAUAUAUCUUCCAGUUGGUGUUUAUGAAUGCAAAUUGUACUGCAAUAUUCGUGGUCAGGGUGUAACAUUUUGUAAUUUACUUCAGUUCUUUCGUUUAAAUAUAACUCAGGUGAGUUCUUUUUCAAAAUGCAUCAUUGGAAUGAGGCCGGAUUUAAUGUUUAUUUGUGUUACAUGUAUACAUGUAUGUGCUUUGCAUUUGCCCUUGUCAGAUAUCUGCAAUAUAUUGAUAUCCAACUUGAAAAAGAAUAUAAUGCCAAAUAUACAUGCAAUUUUCUAUUCAAGAUGACGAGUACAGAUCGACUAUGUAAACUAUGUAAAUUUGUUUGUCAGUUAUCACCAGUGCCUUAUGUUUGUAUGCUACCUCAAUUUGUUUACGUGAAAUGAUUCGGGUUGCUGUAGAGAGACCCAUUUGUGCGAUCUACCGAGGAUACAUGCGGAUAUAUUGUGACAGGAAAAACAACGUUUUGUUCAGUGAAAUUUGCAUGAUCUUAUCCCAGUUAACACCCAUUUUAUAUCUUACGAGCAUGGUAGACUGGCUGCUUGGACCAACUGCAACUGAUAAAAAGGUUGUUCUAAAUAUAGCAACAUCCAUUGACGUCCAGGUCUCACGAUGUAUACUGGAGUAAAACAUGGCGUCCAGGGUGAAUAUUCGUCCCAGUCGCCAGACACCUGAAACUGUCCGAAAUGGACUAGUAGUGACUCAAUACUGGACAUACGGACGGUUUAUAUCGGUUCAAAGCGAUGUCCGACUCAACUAAAAUAAUUUUCCAGAGGGUGUCAGCUGGACUUGAUAUGAAAUGUUCGUUGGGAAUCCUUGUGAUAACCAUGACUAUUAGGUGGAGUCAACAGAAGGCCCGUGUGUAAAAAGAGUAUUAUAUGACAUCGUCACCCACAUCUGCGAUUCCUGCAGUGAUAUAUGUGAAUAUGUUGAAGCACCGACAACCACCGAGGUUAAUACAGGAAAGGUACAUGACACCCAGAUGACGUUAUCUGUCCAAUCUCAACGCCAACUAAAAUCAGAUAUGGCAACAAAGGAAACUGAGGUCUGCAAGUAGAAAAGCCUUGUCUUCCACAACAAUGCUUCGAUGAAAACAUAAACUGCCAUUCUGUCUGUGUCAAUGCAGGAGAUAUAGAUAUCAGUUCUGGAAUGGCCAUGUGUCUUUUGGACAGGGAAAAUCCUUCAAGGCGAAUGUCAAUGGGAUAUCACGGACCAACGUGGUCGCCGACCACGUGCCUGUACUCGUGGUUAUGAUGUAUUGCAGUCGUCACUGCGGCAUUUGGCUCUUGUGUUUUAUCAUUCAUCUGACAAAGACGAAGAGGUGUUUCUGGCUACAGCAGACUCAACCAGAACAACUGGCGAAGGGAAUCCUCUUACCCAGCCGUGGACGACUGUCAGUGUGAAAACAUGACACAAGAUGCAUCUAUUUCACAAAAAUCACCGCAAUGUGAAAAUAAAUUAAUAAAUAAAAUGUAUCAGUAUGUGCUUAUAUUUUUUCUUCUGAAACACAACACAUGCACACGACGUAAAACAAUAUGUAAUCAUAUUUUGUACAAAUUACGUAAAGUACUUUACUUUACUUUUCUUAUGGACAAAUUAAUAAAGUAACUUGACAUAAUAUUCAGCUUAUGAGUAACCAUCGAGUUACUUCCCUUUCAAAGGUCACGACAUCAUGGAGAUGUGUCGCACUGGGCGUGACAUGGUUUCAAGUACUGCAUUGCCUUGAGUGCAUGAUGGAGUUUGUUUUAGAUGAUAAUCGUUGUUCUCUGGCUUUGACGUGUUUUAUUAUCACAAUUCGAUGCAUCGUUUGCGAAUAUCAGAAGUAGCUCUGUUGGGUAUUUCAUCGAAACUACGUACCGGAAAUUAUGUUGCACAUUUUAUUAUUGGCAGCAAACUCAGUAAUUAAUUUCGUUAACUCAUCAAUAUUUCACAGAUAAGUAUCGAUUUUAUUCUUAUAUUUGUGAGACUGCAAGGAACUUUGCGUGAAGUAAAUUAUAUUUAUGUCAAAUUAUAAAUCUCGUCAUCAUGUGACAAUUUCGUAGUAUACAAUGUAGCACAAGGGAUUACACAGAACCUGCACAGGUUGCUGUCAGCGAGAGCAGAGAAACACGUCCAGCCAGCCCGAGAGAUACGCCAGACUGAAUGAAGUGUAUACGGCGGUAGGUGGAGAGCGAUCGAUUAACCUCUUUUCGCUGAAAGUGGCUGGCUAUAGGUUGACAGCGUAAACACCACUCCCUGAGUGUGUGAACACAUGACCAAAUACGUUUGUGCUUAUUUAGCUAUGAUUCACUGCUAAACUAACGCCAUGGAGAUCAUCAAAACAUACUUAUAUGCAACAAUCUGUAUAGUAUCACUCUGUAUAGACAAGUAAUAAAAUAAUUUCAAUUUC
rnacentral:lncRNA from 1 species